rnacentral:rRNA from 1 species
GUCUUUUUGAAAUAAUUUAAAGUCUAAUCUGCCCACUGAUAAAAAAUUAAAGGGCUGCAGUAUAAUGACUGUACAAAGGUAGCAUAAUCAAUAGUUUUUUAAUUGAAAACUUGUAUGAAAGAUUUGAUGAAAUAUGGACUGUCUCUAAUUUAUAUAUUGAAUUUUAUUUUUUAGUAAAAAAGCUAAAAUAAAUUUAAAAGACGAGAAGACCCUAUAGAGUUUUAUAUUUAAUUUUAUUUUGAAAUUAUAUAAAAAUUAAUAUUAAAAAUAAAAUUAAAUAUUAUAUUGGGGUGAUAGAAAAAUUAAAUUAACUUUUUUUAAAAAUUAAACAUAAAUAAAUGAUUAUAUGAUCCAUAAAUAAUGAUUAUAAGAAAAAAUUACCUUAGGGAUAACAGCGUAAUAUUUUUUUUUAGUUCAAAUAAAAAAAAAAGUUUGCGACCUCGAUGUUGGAUUAAGAUAAAAUUUAAAUGCAAAAGUUUAAAAAUUUUGAUCUGUUCGAUCAUUAAAAUCUUACA